GGAGAGGUGGCAGAGCGGUUGAAUGCGCCGGUCUCGAAAACCGGUUACGGGGUUCUCUCCGUACGAGGGUUCGAAUCCCUCCCUCUCCG
rnacentral:tRNA from 1 species